AGGCUGAGCUGUGAUGGGGAGAGGAAAUUGUUUCCUCGAGUCGUUGAUUUCACACUGCCGAGAAAAGCCUCUAGAUAGAUAACAGGUGCCCGUACCGCACACCGACACAGGUAGUCAAGAUGAGAAUUCUAAGGUGAGCGAGCGAACUCUCGUUAAGGAACUCGGCAAAAUGACCCCGUAACUUCGGGCGAAGGGGUGCUCUUUAGGGUUCACGCC
rnacentral:rRNA from 1 species